AGUUUGAUCCUGGCUCAAGACGAACGCUGGCGGCGUGCUUAACACAUGCAAGUCAAACGGAAAACUUUUUAUUGAAUCUUCUCCAGAUGUAGAUUGUUUCAAGAGCCGGAAGGGUGAUUAACACGUGGGCUACCUGCCUCUCCCUGGGGGAUAACUGUCAGAAAUGGUGGCUAACUACGGCAUAAGCGCACAGCAUCGCAUGAGGCAAUGUGAAAUACUCCCCUGGUGUGAGAUGGACCCGCGUCUGAUUAGCUAGUUGGUAGUGUAACGGACUACCAAGGCGAUGAUCAGUAGCCGGUCUGAGAGGAUGAACGGCCACAUUGGGACUGAGACACGGCCCAAACUCCUACGGGAGGCAGCAGUGGGGAAUCUUCCGCAAUGGACGAAAGUCUGACGGAGCAACGCCGCGUGAGUGAUGAAGGAUUUCGGUCUGUAAAGCUCUGUUGUUUAUGACGAACGUGCAGUGUGUGAACAAUGCAUUGCAAUGACGGUAGUAAACGAGGAAGCCACGGCUAACUACGUGCCAGCAGCCGCGGUAAUACGUAGGUGGCGAGCGUUGUCCGGAAUUAUUGGGCGUAAAGAGCAUGUAGGCGGCUUAAUAAGUCGAGCGUGAAAAUGCGGGGCUCAACCCCGUAUGGCGCUGGAAACUGUUAGGCUUGAGUGCAGGAGAGGAAAGGGGAAUUCCCAGUGUAGCGGUGAAAUGCGUAGAUAUUGGGAGGAACACCAGUGGCGAAGGCGCCUUUCUGGACUGUGUCUGACGCUGAGAUGCGAAAGCCAGGGUAGCGAACGGGAUUAGAUACCCCGGUAGUCCUGGCCGUAAACG
rnacentral:rRNA from 1 species